rnacentral:rRNA from 1 species
GACAGAGGGUGCAAACGUUGCUCGGAAUCACUGGGCGUAAAGGGCGUGUAGGCGGGACGGUAAGUCGGGCGUGAAAUCCCUAGGCUCAACCUAGGAACUGCACUCGAAACUACCAUUCCUUGAGUGUCGGAGAGGAAAGCGGAAUUCCUGGUGUAGAGGUGAAAUUCGUAGAUAUCAGGAGGAACACCAGUGGCGAAGGCGGCUUUCUGGACGAUAACUGACGCUGACGACGCGAAAAGCGUGGGGGAGCAAACAGG